UGGGCUUCUGUUAAGUUCAGUACUGUAUCUAGUGAUUCUAACCCAACUUCUACUAGCCGCACCAUAUAGCUAGAAAUUAGUUGAAAUAUUUAUAUGUAUGUUUGCACUAGAUAUUUCUCUGGUAAAGAAGGAGUAACUUAAUUAUCUGUGGUAUCCCGUUUAGACUACUGCAACGCACUCUACGCGGGGCUGCCUUUGAAGACUGUUCGGAAGCUUCAAUUAGUCCAACGGGAGGCUGCCAGGUUAAUAACUGGAGCGGCGUUCAGGGAGCGUACUACUCGUCUGUUAUGCCAGCUCCACUGGCUGCCGAUUAGCUACCGAGCACAAUUCAAGGUGCUGGCUUUAGCCUAUAAAGCUCUAAACGGUUCCGGCCCAGCUUAUCUGUCCAAAUGUGUCUCCCGCUAUGACCCACCUUGAAGCUUAAGAUCAUCAGAUGAGGCCCUGCUCACGGUCCCGUCAGCCUCACAGGUGCGGCUGGCGGGGAUGAGAGACAGGGCCUUUUCAGUAGUGGCUCCCCGCCUAUGGAACGCCCUCCCCAUUGAAGUCAGGCAGGCUCCCUCCCUCCUAUCCUUCCAUAGGAAGGUUAAAACUUGGUUAUGGGGCCAGGCUUUUGAAUAAUAAUUGGCAGCGUUAACAGUUAUCAUGUACGCUGAACUCAGUCGACAGACCGUUUUUUGAACUGAACUACCUGUAUUUUACAGUGUGUUUUACGAAUACUGAUGUAAGUUAAUAAUAAUUUUUAACUGAUUUAUAUUGCACUGUAUAAUUUUUAUAUAUGCGUUUUAUUGUAAGCGGCCCUGAGUCCCCUGUUGGGUGAGAAGGGCGGGAUAUAAAUAUUGUAAUAAAUAAAUAAAUAAAUAUCCCUAACAUAAUGGAUAUUGCUGACUGGAUAUUUUGGUUAAGAACAGCCCACGGCUUUCAUUUCAAGUCAGACAACAUUCAGCUUUUCUCAGAAUAACAAGUCCUUUAUUGUUAUUGUCAGCAGUGGCUAUCAGGCAGGCUAGAAUGUAUGGUUACCUGACAGUCCUAAGUUUCCCCAUCAUGUUGUGAGCUUCUGGUGCAAUGAACAUUUUCAUUAUGAAAGGAAUCCAUGACUAGUGUGAACCUUCGUCUUUUAAUUCCUUAUUACUCAGAAUAGCCCACGGGAAUGAUAUUGCAACAUGGCAUAGCAUUGUUCCCAUUGCAGAAUGCUUCCAGGCUGCUGUUUAUUGCAGCUUAGCUGUCACUUGAAGUGCUUGUGAAGUAUUUUUUUAUAAGAAGAAAAGUGAGCAGCCGUGGCACUCCAGAUAUUUUGGUCUAUGGAUCCCAUCAGCAUAGUCAGUAUUAUGAAUGUUGUAGAGCAGACACCUGGAGUGCCAAGUUUCCUAACCCUUGCAUUAAAUACCAAAGCAGUACUGCCUUGGAUCAGUCAUAAUAAGCUCCUGCCUGAAAAAUAGGAAUCAUUUUCCCCAGCCCUCAGAGAUUAAAAAAUGUGCCGAUCCACUCCCCAUUCCCCCCCCCCUUUUUUUUUUUUUACUGGAAACCGCUAGCAUGAAAAAAAAAUCCAACCAUAACCAAUUAAUACCAAGGGACCAGACUAUGUAUUGCUACUUUUUUUUACUAUGGUUUGUUGUUAUUUACUAUGAUGAACUGAAAAACAAAUCAUUGUUUUACUUGUUGCUUUUGAAAAUCAAGUAAAUCCCCCUGACACCUUUAAAAAUUCCUGAAAAUGUGUUUUGAAGGAUUAAAAAAGCUAGGAAACAUUGCUUCUUCUACCUAUAGUAAAAACUAGACUACUUCUCAUUUCUUCCAAGAGACACAAUGCACAUCUAAGUAGGAUUACUCAGAACCCAGUUCCAGUGUGUAGAAGACAGCUCAGCUGUACAUGAACAGAUUCAUGGUAGCAUAUUUUUUUGUGACAAAGUGUUAUUAGUUUCAAUCAGUCAACCAAUCAGUUGUUUCCAAAAGAAAAUAAUUAGAAAAGCAGUUGAAUACCAUCUCAUUUCUUUUUAAUGGCUUGGUGAUUCUGUCUCGUUACACAAAGUCUGCUUUGUCUUUUCUCUCUGUUGUUUUGUAUGAUCCGCUUGGUCUCUGAGCUAUAUACAAAUAUGCUUCUUAAGAAACUUGAGGUUAGAUUGAUCUGAAGCGCCAUACAUGCAAAAUCACUUAAUCAUUACUUCCUUAAAUCCUGAGGCUGCCUUCAAAAGCACAAAUAAUUUAAACAUUAAUAAUACUGUGGCAUGUUAACCUUUGUUCUAAUAACAACAAAGACUAAAAAAGACUGUAAUUUACAGUAAUAUAAGUAUUUACUGUUUGUUCCACCAAAGCUCAACUCAAAAUUCUGCUGUAGUUUUUGGGAAGGGGGGCAACCCACACGGCUAGUAUAAACCUAGAACUGAAAUAUGUUCAUAUGGUUUCUGCAAGCAGAAUUCCAGUAAGAAACAUUAAUAUAUUACUUUUGAAUUGGAAAAAUAUUCAUUUGGAAUUAAGUCAUAAGCAAAUAAUUACAUUUAGGCUGAUCUUACCAGCCAAAUUCAGUGGGUCUGAACUGCAGCAGCAGCAGCAACAACAACAUAACAACAACUUUAUUCUUAUAUUCCACCCCAUCUCCCCAAAGGAACUCGGUGUGGUUUACAUGGGGACCAAACCCAGUGAAACAAAAAUUAAAAUACAUCACCAUAAAAUACAUUUGUAUUACAAGGCAUCAAUCACAUAAAAACAUGUAAAACAUCAUAAAAACAUGAACUCCAUAACAACUGAUAUCAGUAGCCGAGUACAAAUACUUGGUAUAAACGUUUGGUGUAGCUGUGGUCUGCAGCCAUGUGUCAGAUCCAAAUGGUGAUAGUACACUCAUGUAAUAAAACACAGAGUUUAUUGUGUUGAAUAGCUAGCUAUAUGGUAGAUUGAAUUUUAGGAGCUUCCGCUUUUUCUUAUCCACCCAGUGCCCUGACAUGAUAAACUGAAUAUUCCAAAAUACUGUUUUUCACUGCAUAAUGCUACACACCGCUUUUCUCCCAUUUAAAAAAGAGAGUUCAACUUUUAUUCAGUGAAGAUUUGGAAGCCUAUGGGACCUCUCCUGAAUAAAUCAAUUCUCUAGUUUACUUCAUAAACUUUUACACUCAGGACCCCUUUCGGCCAGAGAAAUUUUUACCUAAUCCCAGGCAUAUAGUUAUAUAAAAUAGAUAUAAAAAUCAGAUGUUCAUUGAUAAGAAACUAGCAUUUGCUAGUUAAACAGACUUAUUUUCCUCUUUGUUUUGAGGUACAGCUGAAUCCUCUUCCAGAGAGUCUAUAGCGCAGCCACUAGGUUCAAAAACCUUUCACUGCUGUCAAAUUUUUCAGGACACCACAGUGAGCUAAGGAAACCUCAUUUGGGGUCAGGACCCACAAUUCAAGAAGAUCUGCUCUAAAGCAUAUGUUGAUCCUGUCUCCAAUAGUUGAUCCAGGUGAUGCCAAUAAGCAAACAAAAUAGGGUAAUAGCCAAAGAAAUAUCUAAAUAUGAACAAGCUAGUAAUCACCUUAUGUCUCAUGACAUUAUUUGCCAGGCAAGUAAUCAUGUUGAACAGCCAAAGGUACAGUGCAUGAAAUUGUAUAUUCAUUUUAAAAACACGUAUGUAUAUGUGUUUUUAUUCAUAUGUAUAGAUUUAUAAAUACAUACAUUUUUUUCUCUAAGCUUCAUGUGGUAAGGAGAUAUGAAGUUCAUAACCUCUUUCAUUUAUACCUUAGGACUGUAUAACUAGUUGCUUAGCCUCACUUAGCUUUCCUUAAUAGAGGAGUCAAUAUUCAUUCAUGGGUUGGGUAAAAUGCCUUCAGCUUGAUUUGUUACCAUGAUGUUUCUUCUGAAGGGAAAGUGUUACGCUCAUUCUGAAAAUAAAACAAAACAAAUGAUUAAAAAUACAUAAUAAAGAAACAGACAAUCUCUGUUUGUUUGCCAAACUAAUCUGAUUUAAAAUUUAUUAUAAGGUUAUCAUAUACCGCAAACCUAAAAUUAUUUUUUUACUAGAGCUGCUUGAGGCAUCACUUUAUUUAUCAGAAAUAAUGGUAGUCACAGUGCUCAGAGCAGCUUAUGUUUUUGUUUUAUAUUCACAACAUAAUAUAAAGUAUGCAAAUUAUUUGGACAUUUAUCUUCAUGUGUAUCAAUAAUGCAGAAAAAGUAGAGUUGAAUAUUUCAAGGGAACCAGUUUCGCCUCACUUAUCAAAAUAGAUUUCCCCCCCUUUUUCAUCAGCUAUUUUUCAAAUGCCAGUGAAAAUUUGGCAUACUGAGCAUUUUCUACCCUUACCAGCAUGAAAGGUUCUGCAGAUAUUAGUUAGGUUUUUUUCUUGCUGAAGAAACAGGCAAAAGAGAGUCUUUAGGGACCUAUUCCCAGUGCUGUAUUUUUGUUCCACUCAUGACUGGUGUGAAAUCUUUCCUGCUGGAUUCCCUUCUCUAUUCUGUUCAUUAGAGAGUCUAGGCAUGUCUCUGCUUGCAUUACUGCAAAGUUCUUGUGGGAAGGAUCCAUAUUUGAGUGUCUUAUAGAACAGAACAAAAGUGAUAGGCGACAACUGAGAUAACUGAUAGAAAAAGCCAUGAACACCAUGAGCAAUAGAGUCCUAUGGGAACUUAAAGAAUGAGAAAUGUACUAUGGCAUGAACUUUCAUGGAUGGUAGACCACCUCUCCAGUUGCGUGAAGUGUCAUCCAGGAUAUUUCAGAAUAUAAUUUCUGUCUGAUCUUACUGACUACAGUCAUAUUGCAUUUAUACCUGAAAUCAAAACAAUGCCUCAUUCAUCUGAUGAAAUACACUUUAGUCCAGGAAAAUGUAAUGUGCCAUACAUUUCUUGCUUCUUAGAUGCUAUGACAAUUUUUAGGGUCAUUUUUACUGCAACAGAUGAACAACACUCAAUAUGCAGACUUAUUGUUAUAUAUGAUGUGCCAGCUAUGUAUGGCAGCUUGCCAUUUGAUUUUUCAAACUAUCCAACCAGGAAAUAAACAGUGACCCAUUUAGUGACUGAUAUAUUGCACACUCUACAUAGUGCACAGGCCCACUUUAAUAUAUUAAUUGUGUGGAGAAUUGAUUCUCCUAUUUUGAAACGAUUAGCUAAGGCUGACUGUGGCUGUAAGCACCUGGAGAUUCGUGGGAUCUACAGUCCUGCAGUAGAUUUCUGAGAGAUUCUCUAGCUUCCAUUAAAGCUCUGUUACACGGUGAAUAUGACCGUUCCGCUGAUCUUCCAUCCAAUAGAAAAAAAAUUCUAUGUGACAGCUUUUUCAUAAGAGACAAAUCUAGAUGCUGUGUCACGGCUUCCUCCCUUUGGUUGCAGUGGCACCGCUAGCAAUGGCAGUUUGUUUUCUGGUUGACAGUGUUUCUUGUGCUAUAUGUAUAUACAUAAAUCACCUUCCACAAUUUAUGUGGAAUACUGAAUGCUUGCUGUCUCUGUCUGUGCAGAGUUCUUUGCGUUUGCCAAACUCCCUCCAACCUCUUUCACUAAUUGGCAUUGGCAGAUUGUUGCAUUUCUUCUAACGGAUUCUCAGUUUCUUGUCAAUGUGCCAUAUUUUCUCUGUUUCUCUGUGCCUGUUCAUUUGUUUGUUUUUCCAAGCUCUAGUUUUGUUUUGUUUCCUGUCCCUACCCCCUUACCUCUGAGUGCUGGUUGUGGCAUCAGCAAUUUUUCAUUUCAGGCUUCUCCAAAUCAUCCUUCCUUCUAGCUGGUUUGUUGGGCAAGGCUGCCCGCAGGAUUGAGCUGACCUCUGACCUCACAUCCCUGUAGCAAGUACCUUAGGUCCUCGGCCACAAACAUUCUUACAAAUCCUUUUGAACUGAAGACUAUAUGAAGUUAUCCUUAGACUCUUCCUAAGGCUUUUCCUUUU